GAUGAACGCUGGCGGCGUGCUUAAUACAUGCAAGUCGAACGGAGACUGUAGCAAUACUGUCUUAGUGGCGAACGGGUGAGUAACGCGUUGGUGACCUGCCCCGAAGAGGGGGAUAACAGUCCGAAAGGAUUGCUAAUACCCCAUGUGGUCGUUUGGAUUAGAUGCCUUACGACUAAACGGAUUUAUUCGCUUCGGGGGGCCUGCGUCCCAUCAGCUAGUUGGUAGGGUAAUAGCCUACCAAGGCGAUGACGGGUAGGGGACCUGAGAGGGUGGCCCCCCACAAUGGAACUGAAACACGGUCCAUACACCUACGGGUGGCAGCAGUAGGGAAUAUUGGUAAUCUGGGAAACCGGGAACCAGCAACGCCGCGUGCGCGAUGAAGGCCUUCGGGUUGUAAAGCGCUUUUUAAAGGGAUGAGGAAGGACAGUACCUUUAGAAUAAGCCUCGGCUAACUACGUG
rnacentral:rRNA from 1 species